rnacentral:rRNA from 1 species
CGUAGGGGGCAAGCGUUGUCCGGAAUCAUUGGGCGUAAAGGGCGCGUAGGCGGAUAUUUAAGUCUGGUGUGAAAACCUAGGGCUCAACCCUGGGACUGCAUCGGAAACUGGGUAUCUUGAGGACAGGAGAGGAAAGUGGAAUUCCACGUGUAGCGGUGAAAUGCGUAGAUAUGUGGAGGAACACCAGUGGCGAAGGCGACUUUCUGGACUGUAACUGACGCUGAGGCGCGAAAGCGUGGGGAGCAAACAGGAUUAGAUACCCUGGUAGUCCACGCCGUAAGCGAUGAGUGCUAGGUGUAGAGGGUAUCGACCCCUUCUGUGCCGCAGUUAACACAAUAAGCACUCCGCCUGGGGAGUACGGCCGCAAGGUUG